ensembl:lncRNA
AUUUAUUUAUUUAAUUAUUUAUUUUCAUACAGGUGGGUGUGGGUGUGGGUAGGUACGUGAAAUCUGUGUGAGAUCAAUAAGUGCGUGUGUGCACGUGAGAUCAGUAUGAGAUCAGCGUGUAUUGUAUUCACAGCGCGGCACGCCUAGGGGGCCAGGCCAGACCUGAAAAACCAGCCGCCUCCUUCUCUCCGAUUCACCACAGUAGAGCGCGCCACACACACCUGUCAGCCAGGUACACACAACAAACUCGAACACGAUUUUCUCCAUGUCUUUCUGAUAAAUGGUCCUUUUUUCUUUGGUGUUCUUUUUUAAUCAGCCACACAGCCUUACUGGACUAUGCCCUGUUCUGUGGACUGAGGGGUUUGCACUGUGGGGAGACAUUUUUCCACAAGCAGCACACUGGUGAAGAUGCAAGCCAACACAGCUUCUCCCGUGACCAACCUCACCACGGCCACGACCAAAUCGCGAGAACAAAUCCUCAUGCAGAGUGCAGGCGCCAUGAUCGCAAUUAUUGUUAUCGGCAUCGUCCUCAUCCUCAGCAUACUACUCAUCAUACUGAAGACAUAUAACAAGAAGAUGCACACAAGGAGGAUACUCAAUGGGACUUCCACCAAACCACGUAAAAACACGACCUCAACAACAAUGACGACACUGCAGAUGGAGAACAUGCGAGGCAGUGCCAACAUGCGAGGCAGCGCCAACAUGGGAGGCUUAGUACACUUGCCCAACAUCUCGGAGAACGGGUUCCAUUUACCACGAGCCGAGGUGGCUAACACGGCUGAACGAAUCAGCAUGAACAGUGGCUCCACUGUGGUCACGAUACAUAACACGCCAUCGAUCGAAAAUACGUAAAAAAACAAACAAAAAAAACAACAACCAAUAUGUGACUUCAAUGGGCUCCAUUGUGCUGUGUGAUGAGAAAACACACCCCCACAACGAACAAACUGAUCAGAGGAUGAUGACCAGGACAUGGAAAAACAAAAGACAGACCAAACAUUGAAUUACUGGCAUGUUGAGACAAACAUGAGCACCUCUGAAGGCCGAAUGUAGUCAAUGGACCACUGGGUCAGACUGUGGUCAAAUGGACCACAGGGACUCUCAGAGCUAAGCGUGGGCAAAUGGACCACUGGGGACAUUUAGGGUUCAUUAUAGUACUGAGAAAACCAUUCCACCAGGACCAGUGGCCAUUUCACCUAAUAACCCUACUUUGUGGUCUCUGGAAAAUGAAACUAUCCAGUUUUAUAAUAGGGACCUCACAUGUCAUGACUGAACAAGUAAUACAGUGUGUGGUAUCACAUAUAAACAGUUUCCUGUGAGUCCAAGUGCAAAGACAGUAAUAAAAAGAGUGAAGGUUGUAACGUGUAACUAUUGCACUAACAAUAACUGAUGUUUCCCUUUACUUAAAACUAAGAUCAACAGAAAACCCUUUUAGUCUAAGGGCAGUUGUUAAAUGGUCAGUAGAUGUUUAAUAUGCCACCACAGCAUUGCUGAAUUCUCGAACCAGAAGAAGCUGUAACAAACAAAAGGUGUAUAUUAACACAUCUGUGUACAUCAUUCUAAUAGGUUGUCGUUUCUAUAGCAACAGCUCAUUCACACAUUAAAAAUGUGUUGUUAUUUAAAUGUAGACUCAUUGAUCAUGUGAUGUUUUCUUGAGGAGACAUUUAUUUGAACAUGUUUGGAAGGAGUCUCCAGUGUCAGCACUUUGUAACAGUUUUCUGCCAUGUGAAAGUCUUCAGGAUGGAGGACUUUGCACAUUGAGAUUUCUUGUCUUAUUAACUUGAAGAGAAAUUGGGGGAAUAACUGUUUAGUAUUGUAAUGUAAGUGAUUAGUGCAUAUUAGCUGUGUUCGACUAGAACUCGUACACUGUAAUUCCCAACCUCCAGCCAAGAAAAGCUACUUGAAAACGCUACUGAAAAUAAUACACUCCACACGAAACUUCCCUCUUAUUCAUGUCGGGUCGUAUCGUAUCACACCCAGCUCAUGUUGAUUGUUUUCCUAUAAUAGCAUGGACGGUCAUGUUCUGUUCCUUACAUUUAACACAAUUUCAAAACCACAACACGAUAAAGGUCUUAUUAACAGACAAAAGUGGAAGUCUUAACAAAGCUGCUCUUAUGGAGUUUUGUCCAAAUUUCAAACACUAGAGUGAUACAGUUAAAAAUAUAUAUAUAUAAAUAAAUGAAUGAAAUGUUACUUACAUUUUCCCUGAGGUUUAUUAAUAUCUGUCCACAAUCCUGAGGAAACAGAAGAACUGUUCAUCAAAUUUAUACAUUUGACUGAAGAAUUCAUUAAAGCUCUCUACAUGUUAAAUGCAUACGUUUACUAUCACCCAUCUGACGCCCAACAGCCUCCCUAUGUUUUGUGUUUCACAUAAGAAUCUCUUGCUCUUUUCUCAGUAAAGAGAAACGUCAAAAUUGUCUAUGGUGCACAUUAUGGAUGUAGUAGAUAGGAUGUAGUGAGAGGAGAAAAAAAACAAACUCCGGAGCAUUUUAAGGCAGUAACUUGAUGUACAAGUUGGUGUUUACUUUAGAAUUUUGCACAUUCACAUGAUAUUGAGUAAAUGAAGCUUUUUAUGUUGUUGGGACAUUAAAAACAAAUGAAAUGAUUUGUGUGAAUUGUGCUGUUACUGGUUACACCUACUAAGAUUCCUGUACAAGUUCAACUUGUGUACCAUGGAGUCAUGGAACUCGAUUCUGAUUGGUCAGACGCGUGUUGAUGAAUUUUCUAUAAAAGGUUUUUAUUAAGGCACUCAUUCUAAUACGUUAUCUUUUCUGUAGUAUAAAUUUACACAGAGAUGUGUGCUGGAGAACACUCCACGUAAAUUGAUUUUAAAAAAAAGGUUUAAUCAUGGAUACGGUGAGGUUCUGCAAGAUGGUUGUUUAGCAUUUAUGGAAGGAGUCUUCAGUGUCAGCACUUUGUAAAAGUUCGCGGUAAAGCAGUUCCUUUAAAGUCCCCAUGAAAUCAAAAUUGUGGCUUUUAGUGUGAAUAGGUCAGCCUUAAGGUUAUCUAUGAGCUAGUGCACUCCAGAACAAUGACAAAAAUUCACAUUUAGACAAUAACCACGUUCAAACUCUGCAUAUACACGUCUCUCUCUACCACCAAUACGGAUCAACAAUUUUGAUGACAUCGUUCCGUACUUCAACUUCUUGUCAGAUUUUCUGUCCAAUCAAAUGCUCUUUAAAAUCUGAUGUGUCCCACCCUCAACAUUAUAAAAAAAACAACAUGGAACUGUCAUGGGAAACUUUUCAGGACAGAGGAGUUUUACACUUUCUCAGUAACAUGACAAGGAAAUGGUUAAUUAACGUUCUUUGGAUAUUGAAUGGGUUGUUGGCCUCCUAAAAGGGGGUUCUACUUGUAAAUCUCUCUAGUAGGGUUCUACACAGAACCUUUAAGGUUUCCCCUCACAGAGACAAGUGAAGGAACCAUUAAUGGGAGUGAAUUUAAUCCUUUUUUUUUUCCAUCUGUACAUCAAGGAUACCCAUGAUGGUCUGCUAUUUUAGACAUUGACUAGAGCACCCCCUGGUGGAAAAGAAAAAAAAACACUUAUUAAAUAAAGACUUUAAUCACAAAGAUUUUAAUCUCAAAGGGGUUUAUUCACAAAAUAGAUGCAUAACAAAAAAAUACAGCAGCACAUGUUCAUAUAAAAGGUCUCUUUGUAUGUGAAAAAUAACUUUUUAGAGAACAUAGUCAAGCUGCGCUGCAUCGCUCUAUUCUAGUGCAACAUGUUAACCAAAGCCACACAGGCACGAGAUCAACACAGACCUCUCAGAAGUCUGCUCGCAAUUAGCAUAAACAACAAACAAACAAAACAAAUAAAACGAAGGAAACAUCCAAGUGCAAAUCUAAUUGUGUACUGACCAAAGGCAACGCUGACAAGUAGUGAAGCUUAAGUUUAAGAAAAUGUUCCAAAAUUCAUCGUCAUGAUUUCAGUCAUUUGUGGCACAAAUUUGAACUUACUCUGAAUCAUUCUUUACAACUUAGUGCAAUACGAACCCAUGUUAAGUGGAGGACACUUUUUAUACAUUUUGAACCUAAUUUAAAAAAGUAAAAAAAAAAAAAAAAUGUUUGAGGUGGAUUAAGUGAAGAUUUAUAGCUAAGUCUUUAGUUGUACUGUGUGUUAAAAGGACAGCAGAGAGACAAUUGAUGAUUAAAGAUCGAGCCCACCAGAUCAGUGUAAAUGUUUUGAAGAAGAGACAGAGAGAGAGAGAGAGAGAGAGAGAGAGAGAGAGAGAGAGAGAUCUCUUUUUAAUCUGUUCUCACAUAGAUAAGAUGUCCUUAAAGUUACAGUGCUUUGUAAGAAUUUCAAAAUUGCUCAUAAGCCCCCAAAUAAUUACACUUGAUGGAUGCUGGGAUCAACUAAAAGUAUUAUUAUUAUUAUGACUACUAUAAUUUGAAAUGUUUAGGAACAGAGUGUACACAAAUAUAUAUAUAU